UGGGGAAUAUUGCACAAUGGGCGCAAGCCUGAUGCAGCAACGCCGCGUGAGGGAUGACGGCCUUCGGGUUGUAAACCUCUUUUAGCAGGGAAGAAGCGAAAGUGACGGUACCUGCAGAAAAAGCACCGGCUAACUACGUGCCAGCAGCCGCGGUAAUACGUAGGGUGCAAGCGUUGUCCGGAAUUAUUGGGCGUAAAGAGCUCGUAGGCGGUCUGUCGCGUCUGCUGUGAAAUCCCGAGGCUCAACCUCGGGCCUGCAGUGGGUACGGGCAGACUAGAGUGCGGUAGGGGAGAAUGGAACUCCUGGUGUAGCGGUGGAAUGCGCAGAUAUCAGGAAGAACACCGAUGGCGAAGGCAGUUCUCUGGGCCGUAACUGACGCUGAGGAGCGAAAGCGUGGGGAGCGAACAGGAUUAGAUACCCUGGUAGUCCACGCCGUAAACGUUGGGCGCUAGAUGUGGGGCACCAUUCCACGGUUUCCGUGUCGCAGCU
rnacentral:rRNA from 1 species